GUCUUUUUGAGUUAUUUUUAAAGUCUGACCUGCCCACUGAAAAUUUAAAUGGCCGCAGUAUUCUAACUGUGCAAAGGUAGCAUAAUCAUUAGUCUUUUAAUUGAAGGCUGGUAUGAACGGUUGGACGAGGUAUUAACUGUUUCAUAUAUAUUUAUAAUAGAAUUUUAUAUUUUAGUUAAAAAGCUAAAAUAAUAUUAAAAGACGAGAAGACCCUAUAAAUCUUUAUACUUUAAAUAGUUUAAAUUUUUUAGAUUUGUUUUAUUUUUAUUAUAUAAAGUAUUUUGUUGGGGUGAUGUUAAAAUUUAAUUAACUUUUAAUUAUUUAGAAUCAUUAAUUUAUGAGUUAUUGAUCCAUUAGUAGUGAUUAUAAGAUUAAGUUACUUUAGGGAUAACAGCGUAAUUUUUUUGGAGAGUUCAUAUCGAUAAAAAAGUUUGCGACCUCGAUGUUGGAUUAAGAUAUAUUUUUAGGUGUAGCCGUUUAAAUGUUAAGUCUGUUCGACUUUUAAAUUCUU
rnacentral:rRNA from 1 species